rnacentral:rRNA from 1 species
UUUCAUGGAGAGUUUGAUCCUGGCUCAGGACGAACGCUGGCGGCGUGCCUAAUACAUGCAAGUCGAGCGAAUCCUGAGGUGCUUGCACCUCUUGGUUAGCGGCGGACGGGUGAGUAACACGUGGGCAACCUGCCUGUAAGACUGGGAUAACAUCGGGAAACCGAUGCUAAUACCGGAUAAUCCUUUUCCUCUCAUGAGGGAAAGCUGAAAGUCGGCUUCUCGCUGACACUUACAGAUGGGCCCGCGGCGCAUUAGCUAGUUGGUGAGGUAACGGCUCACCAAGGCGACGAUGCGUAGCCGACCUGAGAGGGUGAUCGGCCACACUGGGACUGAGACACGGCCCAGACUCCUACGGGAGGCAGCAGUAGGGAA